GAUGAAGAACCCAGCGAAAUGCGAUAAGUAAUGUGAAUUGCAGAAUUCAGUGAAUCAUCGAAUCUUUGAACGCACCUUGCGCUCCUUGGUAUUCCGAGGAGCAUGCCUGUUUGAGUGUCAUUAAUAUAUCAACCUUCUCUUUUUUGAGUUGUUUGGAUGUGGGGGUUUGCUGGCCUCUUAAAUGAUUCAGCUCCCCUGAAAUGCAUUAGCAGAACAACCUGUUCAUUGGCGUGAUAAUUAUCUAUGCUAUUGAAUGUGAGGGCAGUUCAGCUUUCUAACCGUCCUUGGACAAUUCAUCAUUAAUGUGACCUCAAAUCAGGUAGGACUACCCGCUGAACUUAAGCAUAUCAAUAAGCGGAGGA
rnacentral:misc_RNA from 1 species